AAGGAGUGGGCCAGGCAAGGAGGUGGCUGUGCUUCCUAGUGUCUCUUCUUCCUCCAUAUAGACUGGUUCUCGGAGAGUGGCCCACCUAGUGGGACUGUUCUGCAUGGGGCUUGGACUCUCCCCAAGGCUGGCUCAGUUAUUUACCAACAUCCCACUGCCUGUGCUUGGUGAGUAGAUAGGUGGAAAGACAAGUACUGGAAUACUAUUUCCCCCAGUAUGACCCAACCAGUUGGCUAGGCUGAUGCUGUUUCUUCUAAAUAGCUUCUCUGAACAGAUAUAAACAUAUGAUCUUGUUUUCUUAACUGAACCGAGUCUCUUGCAGAAUCAGAAACAAGGCUGUUGGUAGUAUUUCCUCAUUUCAACCACCAGUCUGUCCUACAAACCCUGAACUUUGUCCUCUCCCCACAUCCUUGUUUUCUGUGGACAGGUGGGGUACUGGGAGUGACCCAGGCUGUAGUUCUGUCUGCUGGAUUCUCCAGCUUCCACCUGGCUGACAUUGACUCUGGACGAAACGUCUUCAUUGUGGGCUUCUCCAUCUUCAUGGCUUUGCUUUUGCCAAGGUGGCUCCGGGAAGCUCCAAUCCUCCUUAACACAGGCUGGAGCCCCAUGGAUAUGUUUCUGCGUUCUUUGCUGGCAGAACCCAUUUUCCUAGCUGGUCUAUUGGGCUUUCUCCUAGAAAACACUAUAUCUGGUACACGGAUUGAGAGAGGCUUAGGUCAGGCCCUGCCAACUUCUUUCACUGCCCAAGAAACGCAAAUGCUUCAGAAGUCCAGGAAGAAAGCCGCUCAAGAGUAUGGGCUUCCUUUGUCUAUCAAAAACCUGUGUUCCUGUAUCCCACAGCCUCUCCGUUGUCUCUGUCCAAUGCCUGAAGACUCUGGGGAUGAAGGAGGAUCCUCUAAAACAGGAGAGACAGCCGACUUGUUGCCUAACUCAGGGGAGUCAAGCUCUCCGGAUGGCAGAGAAGGGUUUAGGUCCUAGUAAUUACCAAAACCACCAUUUUUGUCUUAGUUUAGCAGUAACUCCCACCUUGCUGGAGUCUUGCCCCCAAGGCCCGCUAGUAGGAUGGGCUUUCUUUCCUCCUCUUAAUAAUUAGACUUGAGUGUUCAGGAGCAGGGGUAUGGUUUAGUAGGUCAGAAGUGAAUAAAUUAGAUUUUUGCCUGUAAACUGCCAAGGUUGCUUGAAUGAACUCUAGCAUUCAAAUAUUUACUGAGUGCUUCCCAUGUGCAAGGUCCUACAUCUACGGAAAUGAAUAUGACAGGGUCCCUGCUCUCUCCCUGCAUUUAAGAUUUAAAUAACUAAAAUGUAAAGCAGAGGACAAUCUAUAAUAAAGAUGAAAAUACAGAUGAA
rnacentral:lncRNA from 1 species